CCUACGGGAGGUAGCAGUGAGGAAUAUUGGUCAAUGGACGAGAGUCUGAACCAGCCAAGUAGCGUGAAGGAUGACUGCCCUAUGGGUUGUAAACUUCUUUUAUAUGGGGAUAAAACGUUCCACGUGUGGGAUUUUGUAUGUACCAUAUGAAUAAGGAUCGGCUAACUCCGUGCCAGCAGCCGCGGUAAUACGGAGGAUCCGAGCGUUAUCCGGAUUUAUUGGGUUUAAAGGGAGCGUAGGUGGAUUGUUAAGUCAGUUGUGAAAGUUUGCGGCUCAACCGUAAAAUUGCAGUUGAAACUGGCAGUCUUGAGUACAGUAGAGGUGGGCGGAAUUCGUGGUGUAGCGGUGAAAUGCUUAGAUAUCACGAAGAACUCCGAUUGCGAAGGCAGUUCACUGGACUGCAACUGACACUGAGGCUCGAAAGUGUGGGUAUCAAACAGGAUUAGAUACCCCUGUAGUC
rnacentral:rRNA from 1 species